rnacentral:rRNA from 2 species
UGAAACAUCUAAGUACCUGGAGGAAGAGAAAGAAAAAUCGAUUUCCUGAGUAGCGGCGAGCGAAACGGAAAGAGCCCAAACCAAGAAGCUUGCUUCUUGGGGUUGUAGGACACUCUAUACGGAGUUACAAAAGAAAGUUAUAAAUGAAGCGGUCUGGAAAGGCCCGCCAAAGACGGUAACAGCCCGGUAGUUGAAAUGGCUUUCCCUCCAGAGUGGAUCCUGAGUACGGCGGAACACGUGAAAUUCCGUCGGAAUCCGGGAGGACCAUCUCCCAAGGCUAAAUACUCCCUAGUGACCGAUAGUGAACCAGUACCGUGAGGGAAAGGUGAAAAGCACCCCGGAAGGGGAGUGAAACAGUUCCUGAAACCGUGUGCCUACAAGUAGUUAGAGCCCGUUAAUGGGUGAUAGCGUGCCUUUUGUAGAAUGAACCGGCGAGUUACGAUUUGUUGCAAGGUUAAGCGGAAAAAGCGGAGCCGUAGCGAAAGCGAGUCUGAAUAGGGCGCAUAAGUAACAGGUCGUAGACCCGAAACCAGGUGAUCUACCCAUGUCCAGGAUGAAGGUAAGGUAAUACUUACUGGAGGUCCGAACCCACGCACGUUGAAAAGUGCGGGGAUGAGGUGUGGGUAGCGGAGAAAUUCCAAUCGAACUUGGAGAUAGCUGGUUCUCUCCGAAAUAGCUUUAGGGCUAGCCUCGAGGUAAAGAGUCAUGGAGGUAGAGCACUGUUUGGACUAGGGGCCCUUCUCGGGUUACCGAAUUCAGAUAAACUCCGAAUGCCAUGUACUUAUACUCGGGAGUCAGACUGCGAGUGAUAAGAUCCGUAGUCGAAAGGGAAACAGCCCAGACCACCAGUUAAGGUCCCCAAAUAUAUGUUAAGUGGAAAAGGAUGUGGGGUUGCUUAGACAACCAGGAUGUUGGCUUAGAAGCAGCCACCAUUGAAAGAGUGCGUAAUAGCUCACUGGUCGAGUGACCCCGCGCCGAAAAUGUACCGGGGCUAAACAUAUUACCGAAACUGUGGAUGAACCUCUUCGGAGGUUCGUGGUAGGAGAGCGUUCUAAGGGCGGUGAAGUCAGACCGGAAGGACUGGUGGAGCGCUUAGAAGUGAGAAUGCCGGUAUGAGUAGCGAAAGAAGGGUGAGAAUCCCUUCCACCGAAUAUCUAAGGUUUCCUGAGGAAGGCUCGUCCGCUCAGGGUUAGUCGGGACCUAAGCCGAGGCCGAUAGGCGUAGGCGAUGGACAACAGGUAGAGAUUCCUGUACCAGUGCUAAUUGUUUAACCGAUGGGGUGACACAGAAGGAUAGGGAAUCGCACGAAUGGAAAUGUGCGUCCAAGCAGUGAGUGUGA